rnacentral:rRNA from 1 species
GACGAACGCUGGCGGCGUGCUUAACACAUGCAAGUCGAACGGAAAGGCCCCUUUGGGGGUACUCGAGCGGCGGACGGGGGCGUAACACGUGAGUAACCUGCCCCUGCCUUUGGGACAACUUCAGCAAACUGGGGCUAAUACUGGAUAGGAAUCCUUUCUGCAUGGGGGGGGUUGGAAAGCUUCGGCGGUUCUGGCUGGACUUGCGACUUAUCUGCGUGUUGGUGGGGUAGUGGCUUACCAAGGCUUUGGCGGGUAGCCGGCCUGGGAGGGCGACCGGCCACACUGAGACUGAGAUGCGGCCCAAGUUGCGACGGGAGGGAGCAGUGGGGAAGAUUGAACGAGGGGCGGAAGGCGGAUGCAGCAAGGCCGCGUACGGUAUGACGGCCUUAGGGUUGUAGAACGCUUUCAGAAGGGGCGAAGCUUGUGGUGACGGUACCUGAACAGGAAGCACCGGCUAACUACGUG